rnacentral:lncRNA from 10 species
AGAUCUUACUCUGCUUGGUGCUACAGCUGUUGAGGACCGGGAUGGCAUCUUGGUGUGUUGCCCAGGCUGGAGUGCAGUGGCACCAUCACAACUCACUGCAGUCUAAAACUCCUAGGCUCAAGCUGUCCUCCCUUCUCAGCCUCCUGAGUAGCUAGAACUUCAAGCACAUACCACCAUGCCUGGCUAAUUUUUUAUAUUUUUUGUAGAGAUAGGAUCUCACUAUGUUGCCCAGGCUAGUCUCAAAUUCCUGGCCUCAAGCAAUCCUCCCACCUCAGCCUCUGAAAGUGCUGGAAUUGCAGGCAUGAGCAGUCAUGCCUGACUGUAAUUACUCUUUAGAAUGGAAUCAACAACUA